rnacentral:rRNA from 1 species
CGGUUAAAAAGCUCGUAGUUGGAUUUCUGCUGAAGCAAACCGGUCCGCCCUCUGGGUGAGCAUCUGGUUUUGUUUUGGCAUAUGCUUAGACUUUGCAGCUGCACUUGACUGUGUGGUGUGAAGGCUGAGCCAUUUACUUUGAGGAAAUCAGAGUGUUUCAAGCAGGCCAUUGCCUUGAAUACACUAGCAUGGAAUAAUACGAUAUGACUGUGGUUUUAUUUUGUUGGCUUUUAGAAUUAGAGUAAUGGUAAAUAGGGAUAGUUGGGGGCACUCAUAUUUAACUGUCAGAGGUGAAAUUCUUGGAUUUGUUAAGGAUGAACGACUGCGAAAGCAUUUGCCAAGGAUGCUUUCAUUGAUCAAGAACGAAAGUUAGGGGAUCGAAGACGAUUAGAUACCGUCCUAGUCUUAACCAUAAUCCAUGCCAACUAGAGAUUGGAGAUUGUUAUGUGCAUGACUCCUUCAGCACCUUAUGAUAAAUCAAAGUCUUUGGGUUCCGGGGGGAGUAUGGUCGCAAGGCUGAAACUUAAAGGAAUUGACGGAAGGGCACCACCAGGAGUGGAGCCUGCGGCUUAAUUUGACUCAACACGGGGGAAACUUACCA